rnacentral:lncRNA from 1 species
AAGGAAGCUCAACAGGCCUGACUCGGGGAGACUAUCCACUCUUCGUCUUACCCAGCAACUACCCAAUGAAUUACCAUUCGGAGGUCAUCCCUCCCCGCCUGGAGUGAAUCAAAGGCAACAGGGACCAACAGGAGAAAGCUGAGCCUUGCCAGUUUAAUACUGGGUGCUGAAUGAGUUGACUAGUGUCUGUUUUGUUAUAUGUAUUUUGCUUUGGCUGGGAUGGAAAAUGUUAACUCAGUUCCCCACACAGUCUGUUGGGCAGCAUCUUGCAAAAUUGAGAAUCUUUUGCCAAUAGUUCCAUAAAACAGAAAAGGGUGAUUUCCUUUUGUAAAGUGGCUUGACCCCCACAGCUAUGCCACAGUAAGCAGGGUCAUCAAAAACCGCUCCAUUUUUCUGGAAGCUGCAGUGAAAUGGAACCCGGAAACCUGGUAUGCCGGCAAAAAGGGUUUCUGAUAACUUUGAAGAUGGCAACAGUAGAAUGAAGGGAAAUAACUUUUAGGACUCUCAUGGAGAGCUGAUAUGUUCAUGAAUAUCAAGCAAAACAGGAGUUAACUGAAUGGACUGAACUAACAGAUAAUGAAGGCCAGGUGCGGUGGCUCAUACCUAUAAUCCCAGCACUUUGGGAGGCCAAGGCAAAAGGACUGCUUGAGCCGAGAUAGCUGAGACCAGCUUGGGCAACAUAGUCAGACCUCAUUGCUCCAAAAAACCUUUUAAAAUUAGCCAAGCAUGGUGAUGCACACCUGGAGUCCACCCUACUCAGGAGGCUUAGGUGAAAGGAUCACUUGUGCCCAGGAGGUGGAGGUUGCAGUGAGCUGAAACUGCACCACUGUACUCCAUCCAUCUGGGGCAAAAGAGUGAGACCCUGUCUCAGAAAAAAAAAAAAAAAGAGAGAGUGCCAUUUCCAUAAAUGUGUGAAUUUUCCAAUUUUACUUCUGCUAGUGAGUCUAACUUCAUCCUGUUGUGGUCAGAGAAGAUACUUUGUAUGGUAUCUCUUCUUAAAUUUGAGGCAAAAAUUUGUGUCCUAAAACACGAUCUAUCCUGGAAAAUGUUCCAUGUGUAACUGAGAAGAAUUUGAAAACAAAAAAGAAAAAGGAAACAGUACCAGCCCUUUAAAUCCCCUGGAAGUCACUUGUCAAAAGAAGAGCAGUUUGAAACAAUGGUGGAAGGUAUAACAACAAUGGCUGCCCACUUCUUUGUCUGGAAAUCUGAGAUCAGAAGCAGCAAUCGGCAAUCAGAGCACAGAUCCCCAAUAUUUGGAGAACAGGCUCCUAACUUCCGCAACGUAGGUGCAAACUGCUCCAGGAAUAUGUACAUGGCUGCCUAUCACGGGGCUGGGUGUGAGAGACAGGGAGCUGGUACUGUGCUAAGAGCUGAAACUGACCAAAACAAACUACAUUUAUCAUCUAAGCCUUUUCUUGGAAACUGUAAGCAUUAAACAGUCUCCAGAGUUCCAAAAUAGUCACAUUAGAUUCUACCAGUGCAACUGUUGUCUAGGUGGGGAGACAGAUUCUUAUUGCUUCCUACUCAGCCUCUUCCCAUAAUCCUCCAAUAGAUUUUCUUAAAUAAGUUUUCCUUUAUUUGCUAUAUGACCUUAGGACCAUUUCCAGAGACUUAAAAUACUUGUGGAGCAUCUCAUGCUAUCGUUUCAGAAGUCAUCUUUGACUAUAUUAUUUUCUCUUCUUCACUGAGUAUUAAACAAGCCUUGCAUUCCUGGAAUAAAGUCCACUUGGUCACAGCAUAUGAUCUAUUUUAUAUAUUGCUAGAUUCAAAUUGCUAAUAUUUUGUUAAGGAUAUUUUUAUCAUCUUCACUGGGAACACUGGCCUUUUUUUCCCCCUGUAAUGUGUUUGCCUGAUUUUAAGGUGAGAAUAAUGCUGGCCUUAUAAUUAGUUGGAAAGUAUUCCUCCUCCUCUAUUCACUGAAAGACUUUGUGAACGAUGGGCUACAGAUAGAUUAGCGCUGUAAGGGUUCAAAAGAAAACACUGUGUCUUGAAAGGACUGAUACAGUUGGUGAAAUCUGACCUGCAAAAGCCAGUCUUAGGAGAGAGGGGUGAAGAAAUACCAUAACUAAGGGAACAAAUAUGAGAAAUUUUAAAACAAACUAAGGAAAUAAGCAGCCUACUUUGCUUAACUCAGCAACUUCUGGUACAUUGGUAAUAAGCUACUAAAACAUGAUGAUAGAAAGAAACAUACAAGGAAUUUAUAUCUCCAAUUUUCAAUUACUUCGUGAAGAAUAAUCACACCACUAUAAUCUUACUAAAUAGAUUAAGUAAAUGGAUUGUACCAUUCUUGUACAAUGUAAACAUGGUAUCACUACAUGCUAUGUACCUUUUAAAUAACAGAGCAGAAGGCAUUUGAUAUUCUUUUAGCCUGUGAAAAAUAAAAGCUCACUUUUUUAUAUUUAGAGAA